ACGAAAAAGAGAAAGCGGAAAAAGAAGAAGAUUUCGUUUUUCAUUUUUCUUUCCUUGCUCUAUUACUUUUUUUUUGGAUUGGUUUCAAUUUUUUUUCUGUCAC
rnacentral:ribozyme from 1 species